rfam:Heterocephalus glaber contig48443, whole genome shotgun sequence.
GAAAAUGUAGCUUAGAGGCAGGGCUCAUGCUUUAAAAGCAUGAGGCCCUGGAUUUGAUCCCUAGCCUCA